GGACCAAACUUUGGACUACUUACAAUCACUUGCAGUCUAGUUUGUGGUGUGCUCUAAGUCUGUUCCGAGAUCCUACAGGUUGAUUUUAUUUAAAUG